UACAUACGGCGGCCGAAACAAAAUAUCCCAGGAAACGGCGCGCGAACCACCACCAAUCCGCACCCGAGGACGCGCGGCGUGCGCCAUGGCCGCCAUCACCAGCAGCACCGCUUCCCUCUGGUACCCGACCGCCGGCCUCCCUUCCUCCUCCUCGUCGUUCAGGCGCAAGUCCAGCAGCAACCACGGGAGGAGGCUGCAGGCGACAACAGCAUGCCACUGCCGGCCUUCGCGGUACGGAACGACUGACCUUGCCAGGAUGGAACGGGUGGCCCGGAGGGAGGCCCUGUUCGGCAUCCUCCUCUCCGCCGUGGCGGCGCCGGCGCUCGCUCCGGCGGAUGCUCCGGCGGCCGAGGGCACCGAGUUGCAGGAGGGCUUCACCACGUACGAGGAUGAGGCCAACAAGUUCAGCAUUGCGGUUCCACAAGGAUGGCUGAUCGGCGCGGGCGAGUCCAGCGGCAUCAAGUCCGUCACGGCGUUCUACCCCGAGCAGGCCGCCGACUCCAACGUCAGCGUCGCCAUCACCGGGAUCGGGCCGGACUUCACCAGCCUCAAGUCCUUCGGCGACGUCGACGCCUUCGCCGAGGGCCUGGUGAACGGCCUGGACAGGAGCUGGCAGAGGCCACCGGGGCUCGCCGCGAAGCUCAUCGAUUCCAAGGCUGCGAACGGCCUGUACUACGUGGAGUACACGCUGCAGAACCCCGGCGAGCGGCGGCGGCACAUCCUUUCGGCCAUCGGGAUGGCGUCCAACGGAUGGUAUAACCGCCUCUACACGGUGACCGGCCAGUACAUCGACGACGAGGAGUCGGAGAAGUACAGGGCCCAGAUAGAGAAGGCUGUUCGGUCGUUCAGGUUGACAUGAGACGAGAGGGGUUUUUGGCCAGAGAUGCACGGUAUGCAGAGAAGAGAUCAAGAGAUGCAACCCAAGUUCAGUAACGAGAUUCUUAUGCCAGUAAAUCGACCAGCAUGUCUGCCACAUUCAGGGGCACAUUCAGCGUUCCUUAGGAGAUGCGAUGCCCAUUUCUCAAUUCUCAAACACUGUAACAAAUGAGUGAUCACGUCUUUCACAGGUGUAUAACAAGUAAAUCUUUCUUUCUUUUUUUGUUUU